UACGAAGGGGGCGAGCGUUGUUCGGAUUUACUGGGCGUAAAGGGCGCGCAGGCGGCUUAUUUUGUCAGGCGUGAAAGCCCCGGGCUUAACCUGGGAACUGCGUUUGAUACGGAUGGGCUAGAGUUCGGGAGAGGAGAGUGGAAUUCCCAGUGUAGAGGUGAAAUUCGUAGAUAUUGGGAAGAACACCGGUGGCGAAGGCGGCUCUCUGGACCGAUACUGACGCUGAGGCGCGAAAG
rnacentral:rRNA from 1 species